UCAAUGAUCUUACGACGAUCUGGCUGCUGAUCUUGUCUCAUGUACGAUUCAUGCUGGUCUUCUAUAAAUUCAACUACCGACUCCCAACAUCCUGAAUUAUUGAUAAAAUCCCCAAAACCAGGGGUAUCAAUUACUGUCAACCUUAAGUGGAAAUUUUUUUCUUCUAACUCAGCUUUUGUAAUCUCUAUUUCGACCGUUUUCUCAGCAUGCUUCGCACGAACCUUUUCCGGGCCCAUAUGUGAUUUAAUUGUUGUUGAAAAGAGUGUAUUACAAAAUGUUGUUUUACCAAGACCCGACUCUCCACAAAGCAUCAAAGUGAAAGCUACACCAUUUCGUGAAACUAUUUUGUGACGCUGAUUAGGUAAAUCCGCAAUUCCAACGAAGUUUGUCUCUUCUUCAUUCAUGACGCGCAGAGAUGAAUAGUAUAUUUCCUUUGUUUAACGGUCUGUAAAAUAUUGACUUAAAAGCUUCCAAACUAAAUAAAAAAGUUUCCAAAAAAUGCAAGAGAAUUGUUAUUAGUUUUAUUAAAGCAUAAAUGGUAAAAAACGGAAGGUCUAAGUAAAUAGAUAAUCGAAGCUUCGUUGCAAUCACUCGUUAGCGAUAUAACUAUAUGAUCACUAUACCUCAUUAUAUUUUUAACGGGCUUUCGUCUCGUAAAUAUACUAACUAUCAUUACUAGUUUGCUCAUUAAAUUUCAUAAAGAUUCUGAAUGCCAGAAAUUAUGCUUGGCAAAUAUAUAAAAACCUCUAUACUACGUAACAGAAAUAGAUUGCUGGGAAGUAUGCAUUU